ensembl:lncRNA
AUGGAACCUCUAGGUGCGUCUAGUGAUCCUGCUGGGUCUGAGAGCUUACAGUCACUGCUACACCACUGUAUUACUAAAGCCAAGAGAGUGGCUGCCAACACCAAUAACAACUCCACUUCCAGGAGAAGAACAGGUGUGUCUCCCUCUCAGACCCAGCAGCAAUCCCAGACCCCCUCGGCUCACAGAGAAGAUCUCUACCUCCACAGGAAGAGGAAAAGGCAGAACAGGAAGAACCCAUAUCUCUUUUUAACCUCCUUCCUGCACCGCAGCAGAUGCUCUGAGGAGGACCAGGCGGCCAUCCUGGCCAGUACAGACUCAGACGGGCCCAACUACAGGACUCCCCACUGACCACUGACCACUGACCAGUAUGUCCACUACUGUCACUCACAGACAGAUCAAGCCAUGGGAGGCAACUACAUUGACCCGCCAACCUAGAUCUCUCUAUAACUCCCAUACAGAAAUUAUGAUAAUCAUGUGAUUAAUUCCAUUCAGCUUUUGGCAGUGGGUAACCUGUCUCUAGCGUUUUCCAAAUAAUUUAGAGACAAAAUAAAGAUGUUUCCGUGUCUCCCUGAGGAUAAUGUUGUUAGGGUCACCAGAUAAAACAUCUGUAAUGUAAAUACAUAAAAUAAUGAAAAGGGGGACAAUAUCUCCUAUUGUAGUAAAAUGCAUUGAUCUAAACAAUUCACAACACCUCAAAAGUCCCUGGUCAUGGAGGAGUCUAUCUGAGGUGUUACAGUGACACAGUGGACUAAACCUGGUGUGUUCCUUAGACAAGGACCUCAGUCUACCUUUCCUACAAUUCAAAUAGUGUCAGUAUCUAACACAGGGUACUUAUUGCAAAAUAUACCUCAGAGUAAGUGCAGAAUUGCUGUAAUUCUAUUGGACUAUACGUAUUUUACAUUAUUUUUCAAAUGAAAUGUAUGAAAGAAAUGGUAUAUAAUAUCAUUCACUUCACACAUGAACUGGAUGCUGUGGCCUGAAGUCUGAUUUUCAUCCGCUUUUAAUAUCGAGCCCAAUCUGCAUAUUUUGCUUAAUCCUAAAAGAAUAUCAUCCAAUGAUAUUGGUAUAUUUCAAAUCACUAAAAGACAUGUCCUCACUCUCUUGCAUUUAACCAUGUGAUCAAAUCCAGUAAAGGUGAGCCCAUGUUCCUCUUGCUAAGACAUACAGUAACUUUGUGUUCAAGAGGCCAAAUGUACACUUGAUAGGGUGAGGACAGAAGAGGGGUGAGAAAAUGUGAUAAAUGUGUAUACGGUGUUUUUCAUUAAUAUGGAGGAAACCUCCAGUCUAUUGUGGAGUAUGGCACAUCUCUAGGUGCCUUGUUUGCCUUUUCUCUCUUGUUUUUGAAAUGUGAAUUAACUGCCUUUUCCUUCACCUUCACGCAUUCUCUCUCUCUGUUGGGACUCAUUAUAAGCUCCAGUCUGACCUGUGGACUGACUCUACUUUUUCUGCCAAGGACACCUAGCUGUGAGUAAGGGGCACUGAAGGUGUAUUACUCUGGUUCUUUUUUUAAUCUUGACUGUAUAUUCUACUAAUAGAACAGACCUAUAAUAACAAUUAGUGAUGAUGAUGACAGUGUUAAUCAUUUCAGGUUUAAAAUUGUGGUAAUGCUAUAACAUAGAUAUUUUUUAAAAAUCACAAUUUAAUCAACAUUUAAAUGUAAAAGGUACAGAAGUAGUUAUCAUGCAGAAAGUGAAACUUGCCACUGAUGUUCAUAUUUCAAAACAGCUGUAAUACUGAAUACUGUAUUGAAAGAACUGAUUGCUGUUUAUUAGGUGAUUUUAACAAGUGGGCUUGUUAGAUGACAAGUGACAACAUUUGGCUUACAUUAACUAAACUCAAAAGGUGGGGUGGCUGUCUCGACUCUCAACUGUUUAUCUCUAGCAACGGUAUAAUAUUACCUGCUAGCUAUUUCUCUGUAUGUUUAUUCAUUUUAAAGCUAACCGAUAAUGAAUGUAUGUUUUGCUGUACAGGAAGUGACUGUCCUGAUGUCAUAGUACAACGGAUGACCUGUCGCAUGUGGUGGUAUUAAAUUUAGGUUUAAUUGGCUCGUUGGCUAGUUGGCACAAUAGUUUGAUUUGAUUUAUCACACAAGGUUAGCUGGUUAACCAAGGAUGGGUUCAACCACUCUUGGUUGUAUUCUUUCCUUUACACUGAUGGUUAAUGUUAUCAUUUUCUUCUCACCCUGUAGACUAGACCUAUUAGAGAGCUUUACACUUACACACUUACAAGAUGAAUCACUGGAAGACAUUGACAUUUUAAACCAGUUGUCUGAUUUGGAGUCACUUUUAUCUCUACUGAUAGCAAUUCAGGAGUGGAACUAGACAUAAGAACUCUCUGAAUGUAUGUUAACUGAACCCCUCUCUGCUUGCUAUAGAAUAUAAAUCAGUGAUCAAAACAUAAACUUUAUCUGCCCUCUUCACUCACUUUCCAACAUAUUUAUUUUUAAAUUGGUGAGUUAGUGACAAUUUUGAGGAAUGAAGUUAUUUGAAAUUGAUACAUCAACGUGCAUAUCCCAAGAACUGGUUAUAUGUAAGAUACAGGGAAAAUCUAUAUUCAUAAUGUAUACAUGGUGUGUACUGUAUUUGGGAAGAUGAAACAGAAAGAUUUUUUGUUCAAUAUGCUUGAGGACAAAAAUGGAGAGACAGAUUUAAAGCAAGUUAAUAUUAGAUGUGAUGAAGGUAUUUGCUUUAAGGCUUUAAGUGGACAAAUUUAUAAAACAUCUUAAGGUGCUUCGUUUGUCAUGUUUUCGGAGACAUUAUUUUACGUUUAUGGAAAAGUAAAUGUUAGCACAGAACAAAUGUUUUAUUGUCAUGUGGGCCUGUUGGCUGCACAAGUUCAGUAGUAUUUCUUCUGUUGUAUAGUAUGUGAAUGAAUACCAAUUUGAAAAGCAUCAACGUGUCGUUGCUGGACUAAACCUUAUCUGAAACAGAAAACGUUUUUUUUUCACAAGCACACAGGUAGAUUCACUCAUGAUCACUUGCCUCCAGAUGUCCAAAGUAACAAAGAAACAAAAGAGAGCCACAAACAAUCUAAUAGUUAUGGGGUACUGUAUGUGCUGCAACCGAAGUCGUGUUUACAUUAGCUAGAGAUGACGUACGUGCUACUAGGACGUAGUUGCUUUCAACAUUAUGACUUGGUGCUAUGUUUAACUCUGUGGUGCUGUAGAUCAGAGCCCUAAUCUCUUGAAGUCCUCUGUGUUUUACCAACUCAACUAGUUCCAUCGCUGUAAGUCCUAUUAAUAAACUAGUGUGAUUGGCAAUGAGCAAAUUGUAUUGAUUGUGGAAUCAGAUAGUGGCAAUAGAUAGUGUGGUGACAUUCAAAAAACACAUCAAACAGACUUAGAAUAAUGUAGCAAUGGAACAAUAGUUAGUUUCCGUCUCUGUUCCAGCCUCUGUCUGUGCUUCCAGGGUACCCUCUCCAGAGUGUUGUACUUGUGUUGAAGGGGAGAUAUAAUAUCCAGAUUAGAUGGGGAAACCUACUUGGUGUGAAGUUAUUUAUCAGUACUUUUGAUCAGUAUUAAAUAUGUAACAGCAGACAGGGGACGGAAUCUGAGCCCAUGGUCAGGGCAUGAGAAGGUCGUUCUACACUACACAUUUCCUACAGGUCAAAACUAUUUUUAAUGGACAGCACUGUUUUCAAGCACACAACUGCAGGGGCAUAACCUUCUUAUGUGAUUUCUCUCCACUGGUUUCACAAAGUCUCCUAUUGGGGGACAGUAUUGUACAGUAUAGCCAAUAAGAGUAUUCAUCAAACAGCGUUUGUAUUUAAGCUGAUUCUUCUCGUAUGUUUUGGUAAAGGUAUUGCUGACACACUCUUCAUAUAGACUUUUACUAAUGUAUGUAGUCUUCCGGGCUCUCUUGCUUUUUCAACAACAAAAAUACAUACAGUAUGUAAGAGGGCUGCUUUGGAGGUACAGAUGUAGGAUCUUAAUUUGAGCCAAUUUGCUACAGCAGGAAAAUAAACCUGCAGCAAAAGAAAAUGUGAAUUAUUAUAGUGAUUAUAAUUAAUGGACGUUUUUGUAGGGUCUGAUAUAUUUUUCUUAAGGGAAAAUCAAGACUGAAAUAUCAAAGUGGAAAUUACAAACUUCAGAAGCCUUUUUAAACCUCAAAUACACUACAAGUGUGAAAUAUCAUGCAUUGCAGGAAAGUUCUCCUGCAACAGGGCGAUCAAAUUAAGAUCCUGUACUCUUAGAUUGACUUUUAUUUUGUGUCUUUCUGCUUAAAGGCUUUUAGUGCAUAAGUAGGAGCUGGUAUGAUUAUACUUAGAGCAAAUUUGAUUUAACUAUAUUUAUCUUGCAUGUAGAGACAAUACAAAAGAGCCUAUUCAGAAAUCAGUCAUAAACUUUCAACCUGGUUGUGAUCAGACAGAAAAUGGAAUAUGUAGUAUUUUCUAUGUUCUCUGUUUUUCCAUGUGUACCAGCACUGAGGAAAUAGAAUGUAUUAUUACUGUACAAUAAGUGCUACAUCUUUGACUGUUUUAACUAAUGCUCCUCAUCCUCAAGCCAGUAGUGCUUAAAGGAAAAAUAUGUAGUCAUGUCAUAGCAUAUUUUCAUCUAUUGAGGCAUGUGCGUUUGCUGUACAUCACGUUUACAUUCUAUAUUUUAUGUUGACAUCUUCAGUGCAUAAUCUGUUUCAAUAUGCCUUUUUCAACUGAAACAAUUGAUCUAUAUCAGACUGUUCAUAUGUAAAUAUUCCGAAGCAAAAACAUGAAACAUAUUUUACUUUUUGUCUAUUUUACAAUGAUAACCUGCGGAUCAUUUGGAGCUUCAUCAUUCAGUUAUGUUUGAUUGACAUCAGGAAUUAUUUUACACUUAACUUUUAUGUGAGCAAUUAACUCAUCUACUGUAUGGUGCUGUACCAAAGCCUUAUGUAAAAUACUAGUCUGUGUUGAUUUUCUCUUUUGCCACUGUUGUCCAGGGAAUUCAAUAUUGUCUGGGAUCACAUGUUGCUCACUUCAUGUUCAACUGCCAUGGAACUUCUUCUUCAAACGAAACCCUGAAGAAAAAGCAUAAACGCACUGGCUUAAUACCACCAGUGGCUUCUAGAGAAUAGGUGACAAAGGCUUAUGACCUGUGGCAUAGGCUCAAGACAAAGUGGCAUACGUUUAUUAAAAAAGGCAUUGGCAAAUUUGUUGUAUCAUUGGCUCAUGAGCGGUUUGUGACAUAGACAUACAGCAUGUUCUAUGAUGAUCCAUGGCAUGCCAAUAAUAAGUGGAAAGCAGCGUUGCGUUCAUGUCCAUCAUGUGUCAAUUUCCAACGCUUAGUCCAAUGUAAUAUUUUCCUCUUCAAUUUUUGUAUUUUGAUAUAAUAAAAAUCUAAAACGUGCUUAUG